rnacentral:ncRNA from 11 species
AUGACCUUCCAAGUUUAUUAAGAAGACGAUGAAAUUAUUUGCGUGAAUCCUAUUCGAACAAUUCUUCUUGCGAUCCUAUCGUGAGGUUUUAAUGGAGAAAGCGGUACCAACGCAGACCUUAUUUCUUGUUACAUCCCUAGUUUCUUUCGAGGAGCUAGUUUUCUGGACGCUACUAGAAAAUUCUGAUUCUU